AAGACUUCGUGAACGCUAGACGUUGAUUUUGCCUUAAGAGAUAGUAAUUUUGAGUUGGUCUUAUUUCGUAACAUUAUUAUGAUAUAAAAUUUAAUUACCAUAAAAGAUGCUAAGAAGGCUGAAUACAAUAUCGGAAUGUUUCGUUCGAAAAGUGAUUGAUAAAUAUGUAGAUCAUUUUCAAUGAUAACUGCGAUCACAGAUUUUGAUAAUAUCACUAGAAAUAAAUAAGGUAUAUGAUUGCUUAUAUAUGUUUACCUUAAUUCGUUAAUUCCAGUUCAACAAACCGAAACGCACAUAUAGUUACAUUUAGUACGUAUCACUUUUCGUGUGAUUUUUUCAGGAAGACAAGGCAAUUAUUAAGUCUAUUCAAAUUCUUGAUCGAUAGAUCAAUAAGGGGGUUUAUAGUUGAUGAUAAUAUAAGCCAACUGCACCGGACCGCGCCCAGGUUCCUUCAUCAAUUUGCCUUUAAAGCACAAGGAAGUACAAGAUUUACCACCUGAUGAGUACUAACAGUUUAAAAACCGGUCAUAUGGAUAUUUGAAACCGGUAGAAUUGAGCUUCGACGCCUUUGUUUCCGUUGGAGAGGCUUGGCACAAUUAUCACCACGCCUUCUCUUGGGACUACCGGGCGGCCGAAUUGGGCUCCAAAUACAGCAUUACCACUUUUGUCAUCGGACGCCCUGGCCUACGACCUCAAAUCCACCCCCAUCACAUGGUGAAAAGGUGAAUGUUUUACCCAAAUCCCCCGUUAUUUGAACGCUCAAAUUUGGCUUGGAUUUAGGAGAAUCGAGCGCACCGACGAUGGUUCGCAUCCCAUCUUCGGCCCUCAUGCCGAAAAGCUAGAGUCGACCGGAAAACUGGAUGAUGUGGAUA